AACUGAACAACAAAAGCUCUAGUCUAAGUGUCUGAAGUCCAUAUGCUUUUAUUUUUAAACCUGUGGCAUAAAGGAUAGAACCCCAAAUUAUUUCCAGCUAGAUCACUACUGCUACAGGAAGGAGCUACAGGAAUCAUGUGUGUGCAUGCAGGUGUUUGCCUACACCCAGGCUCAUAGGUGUCUUUUUCCAUAUCUUACCUUCUAAAAGCACUGGACUUGUAAUCAGAAGAGUAGCAUUCAUGUCCAAACUUUGCCACCUACCAUAUCCAUGCCUUUGAUUGGGGCUUAGUUUUCUUAUCUGUAAAAUGGGGAUGAUAAUCGCUGUUCUUACUUCACAGAGCUGUCAGGACCAUGACAUGAGAGAAGGGAUGGAGAAGAGAUUUGGGAAUGUGAGCAGUGAUCAUUUCCAUUCUUCAGCCCAGUGUGUUUGUGUGUGUGUGUGUAGAGUAGAGGAAGGUAAUAUUCAGUCUUACGUUCUAAGUUGCCAAUAUCUUGGCCUCUCUCAUGGGCCUCUGAUCCUUAAUGAGGAUAGAUGUGGGAAGAAUGGCCCAUUAAGACUUCUAUCCUUGAAUUUCCCAAUUAGGCAGGGCUGGGUUUUGUGAUUGUAGUCCUUCCUAAAUGAGUACAUAUAGCAAUAUAUACUCAGGACCUUGAACUGGGGAACUGUUCAUCAGUAGUAGAUGAUUCAAUAAGUGACUAAUGUAAAAAAAAAAAAAAGACCAUCUUUAGGCUGAGUGAAAUAGGUUGUGGGGAACCCAAAAGGUGGGAAAGUCAGAGAUGAUGUUCAUAUGGAAGCUGCCACUCCAAGUGUGCCCCAAGAAAUAACACUGUAAAAUAGUAAUAGCUUAUGAUCAUAGCCCCUCUCUAAAUGAGUCUUUGAGAAUUGCAGUGGCUGAAAAGUUCAUCACCUGGGCAGCCAAGCUGGUGAUGAGCCCCUCUGAACUUAAGCAGUUUGGUUGGAUCUUGGACAACUUCCUCAGAAAUAGUGUCAUUGGAACCAUUUUACAAUGUUGUAACGUCUAGAGCUGAAAGGGUCGUUAAAGAUUAAUAAGCCCAACCAGUCCCUGUACCUAUAACCUAUAUACCUAUACCCGAAACCUAGAGAGGUGAGUGAGAUGAGUCAGUUUUUCCAGCUUAGUAGGAGAAUGUAACCUCCUUAAGGUUAGGUACUGUUUCAUUUUUGUCUUCCUGUCUCUAGGCCAGAGCCUGGUGUGGAGUAAGUGCUUAAUAAAUGCUUGUUGAUUGGCAUUACCAUUGAGAACCCACAGUCACCUUCAUAGCAUGAAGAGGUAUCAGAAGAGGCAUCUGGAGGCGAGUUUGACAUCAGUGCUUUAGAAGAUUAAAAAGAGAGUAUGGGAAGUGAGCAGCUGGGAAGAUAAUUCAGUUGGUAAAGAAGAUCGUUUGAAGGAAUGGGACUUGAAUUUUUGGACUAGAGCUACAGAUAAUAGAAUGACAGUCCAAGACUGGAAUGAUGAGGGCACGUACCGGGAUGGUGGCAGUAUCGGAGGAGAGAAGAUAUUAUGAAGGUACAAUGGGGGACAUUUAUGUCAAGUGUCUCAAGCCUCAAUAAAAGGAAAGGGAGCAGGGGGUUGCCACACCAGACCCUCUGAGGCUACCACAAGGUCUGGCACCAAUGCCGGAUAAGGCAUCUACCUUGCAUCACUCACCAUUAGGGCAUAGGUGAGGCCCAGCCCCACCAGCCCUGCAGGCAGCUCCUUGUGCAGGGAUUUGGUGAUGGAAGCCACAGCAGCUAUGAGGACCACACAGGCACCAAUAUAUUCCUGCAAGAAUGAUAUUGCCCUCAGGCAUCGUGAGCACCCCACGUAGUCUUCCUGCAAAUCCUUCCGUACCACACCCUGAGCCACACUCUACACAGGUCACUGCAGCUUCCUGCUGGAAAUGUCCCUCUGGCCAAAUGCAGAUGACUGCAGCCCGAGCGUGAACUUAAGUUCCUAACACAAUGACUUUCACAACCAACUUCCCAUGAGGGGGAAAAAGAUCUUUCCCAGAAACAAA